CCUGAACGCUGGCGGCAGGCUUAACACAUGCAAGUCGAGCGGAGAUGAGGUGCUUGCACCUUAUCUUAGCGGCGGACGGGUGAGUAAUGCUUAGGAAUCUGCCUAUUAGUGGGGGACAACAUUCCGAAAGGAAUGCUAAUACCGCAUACGUCCUACGGGAGAAAGCAGGGGAUCUUCGGACCUUGCGCUAAUAGAUGAGCCUAAGUCGGAUUAGCUAGUUGGUGGGGUAAAGGCCUACCAAGGCGACGAUCUGUAGCGGGUCGGAGAGGAUGAUCCGCCACACUGGGACUGAGACACGGCCCAGACUCCUACGGGAGGCAGCAGUGGGGAAUAUUGGACAAUGGGGGGAACCCUGAUCCAGCCAUGCCGCGUGUGUGAAGAAGGACUUAUGGUUGUAAAGCACUUUAAGCGAGGAGGAGACUACUGAGACUAAUACUCUUGGAUAGUGGACGUUACUCGCAGAAUAAGCACCGGCUAACUCUGUGCCAGCAGCCGCGGUAAAAC
rnacentral:rRNA from 1 species